rnacentral:rRNA from 1 species
UACGGAGGGUGCGAGCGUUGUCCGGAAUCACUGGGCGUAAAGGGCGCGUAGGUGGCCCGUUAAGUGGCUGGUGAAAAGCCCCCGGCUCAACUGGGGGAGGGUCAUUCGAUACUGAUCGACUCGAAGGCAGGAGAGGGUAGUGGAAUUCCUGGUGUAGCGGUGGAAUGCGCAGAUAUCAGGAAGAACACCCGUGGCGAAGGCGGCUCUCUGGAACGCAACUGACGCUGAGACGCGAAAGCGUGGGGAGCGAACAGG